rnacentral:rRNA from 1 species
AUUAGAGGAAGUAAAAGUCGUAACAAGGUCUCCGUUGGUGAACCAGCGGAGGGAUCAUUACUGAGUUUACGCUCUACAACCCUUUGUGAACAUACCUAUAACUGUUGCUUCGGCGGGUAGGGUCUCCGCGACCCUCCCGGCCUCCCGCCUCCGGGCGGGUCGGCGCCCGCCGGAGGAUAACCAAACUCUGAUUUAACGACGUUUCUUCUGAGUGGUACAAGCAAAUAAUCAAAACUUUUAACAACGGAUCUCUUGGUUCUGGCAUCGAUGAAGAACGCAGCGAAAUGCGAUAAGUAAUGUGAAUUGCAGAAUUCAGUGAAUCAUCGAAUCUUUGAACGCACAUUGCGCCCGCCAGCAUUCUGGCGGGCAUGCCUGUUCGAGCGUCAUUUCAACCCUCAAGCUCUGCUUGGUGUUGGGGCCCUACAGCCGAUGUAGGCCCUCAAAGGUAGUGGCGGACCCUCCCGGAGCCUCCUUUGCGUAGUAACUUUACGUCUCGCACUGGGAUCCGGAGGGACUCUUGCCGUAAAACCCCCCAAUUUUCCAAAGGUUGACCUCGGAUCAGGUAGGAAUACCCGCUGAACUUAAGCAUAUCAAUAA